CGGGCUGCGCWGCUUAMCAUGCAGUCGAGCGGAUGAAGGGAGCUUGCUCCUGGAUUCACGGCGGACGGGUGAGUAAUGCUUAGGAAUCUGCCUAUUAKUGGGGGACAACAGUUGGAAACGACUGCUAAUAYCGCAUACGCCCUACGGGGGAAAGGAGGGGAUCUUCGGACCUUUCGCUAAUAGAUGAGCCUAAGUCAGAUUAGCUAGUUGGUGGGGUAAAGGCCUACCAAGGCGACGAUCUGUAGCGGGUCUGAGAGGAUGAUCCGCCACACUGGGACUGAGACACGGCCCAGACUCCUACGGGAGGCAGCAGUGGGGAAUAUUGGACAAUGGGGGCAACCCUGAUCCAGCCAUGCCGCGUGUGUGAAGAAGGCCUUUUGGUUGUAAAGCACUUUAAGCGAGGAGGAGGCUCUUCUAGUUAAUACCUAGGAUGAGUGGACGUUACUCGCAGAAUAAGCACCGGCUAACUCUGUGCCAGCAGCCGCGGUAAUACAGAGGGUGCGAGCGUUAAUCGGAUUUACUGGGCGUAAAGCGUACGUAGGCGGCUUUUUAAGUCGGAUGUGAAAUCCCUGAGCUUAACUUAGGAAUUGCAUUCGAUACUGGGAAGCUAGAGUAUGGGAGAGGAUGGUAGAAUUCCAGGUGUAGCGGUGAAAUGCGUAGAGAUCUGGAGGAAUACCGAUGGCGAAGGCAGCCAUCUGGCCUAAUACUGACGCUGAGGUACGAAAGCAUGGGGAGCAAACAGGAUUAGAUACCCUGGUAGUCCAUGCCGUAAACGAUGUCUACUAGCCGUUGGGGCCUUUGAGGCUUUAGUGGCGCAGCUAACGCGAUAAGUAGACCGCCUGGGGAGUACGGUCGCAAGACUAAAACUCAAAUGAAUUGACGGGGGCCCGCACAAGCGGUGGAGCAUGUGGUUUAAUUCGAUGCAACGCGAAGAACCUUACCUGGUCUUGACAUAGUAAGAACUUUCCAGAGAUGGAUUGGUGCCUUCGGGAACUUACAUACAGGUGCUGCAUGGCUGUCGUCAGCUCGUGUCGUGAGAUGUUGGGUUAAGUCCCGCAACGAGCGCAACCCUUUUCCUUAUUUGCCAGCGGGUUAAGCCGGGAACUUUAAGGAUACUGCCA
rnacentral:rRNA from 1 species